CUCUCUCUCUCUCUCUCUCGACCUCAGCUCCUCUCUCUAUCGAUUCGUCUCUCCCGACCUUAGUCACCGACAGCGUUGGCAUCGCUUCGUCUCACUCUCUCAUCUGGUAUCAUCUCUUCUCUCAAUCUCAUGUCUCCGUUUGUCAACCUCAUCAUCUCUCUCCCUCUUUGGAGUCGACCUAACCCAGAUCGCCCCUCAGUAACCUAACCCUCUCAGAGUCUCUCUAUCUCUCUCUCUCUCUAGACUCGUCUCUAUCGAGUCUCUAUCGCGCUCGCUUUCUCUCACUCUUAGUCACCUCUGUAAAUCUCUUAGAGUCCAUCGUUCUCCCUCACCAAACCUAACCAAACAUCAUCCAAUUUCAUUGGUUUUUGGAGCGAAUCCUUGCAAAUUAUGGAGGGCUCUGGUUCAUUUUAAGUUGUUGUGCAUAGUCUGUGUGGGUUUCGAUUAAUAGGCAAAAUUGAAGAUAAUGUGAUUAAGGAGGCUCACAAAGGCAGCCAUAGGCUCAUAAAGAGUGUUUCAUUUGGAUCUUCUAAUUCAUUGAUGUAGAUACGUUCAGUUUUAAAUACAAGUUUUUUAUUCAAUUAUUGUAUCUAAUCACUAUUA